AGUUGCAUGCCCAUACACAUAACAUUUUUAAAAUUCUUUUUAAAAAAAAGCAACCUAUCACAGCAGAAUGACUGGGCUGUGAGAUCUGGGGAUAACUGUAGGGCCUCACAGGUGAUACUGGGGAUAAUUGUAGGGUCUCACAGGUGAUACCGGGGAUGACCGUAGGGCCUCACAGGUGAUGCUGGGGAUGACCGUAGGGCCUCACAGAUGAUGCUGGGAAUGACUGUAGGGCCUCACAGGUGAUGCUGGGGAUGACCGUAGGGCCUCACAGGUGAUGCUGGGGAUGACUGUAGGGUCUCACAGGUGAUGCUGGGGAUGACCGUAGGGUCUCACAGGUGAUGCUGGGGAUGACUGUAGGGCCUCACAGGUCAUGCUAAGGAUGACUGUAGGGUCUCACAGGUGAUGCUGGGGAUGACUGUAGGGCCUCACAGGUGAUGCUGGGGAUGACUGUAGGGUCUCACAGGUGAUGCUGGGGAUGACUGUAGGGUCUCACAGGUGAUGCUGGGGAUGACUGUAGGGCCUCAUAGGUGAUGCUGGGGAUGACUGUAGGGCCUCACAGGUGAUGCUGGGGAUGACUGUAGGGCCUCACAGGUGAUGCUGGGGAUGACUGUAGGGCCUCACAGGUGAUGCUGGGGAUGACUGUAGGGUCUCACAGGUGAUGCUGGGGAUGACUGUAGGGCCUCACAGGUGAUGCUGGGGAUGACUGUAGGGCCUCACAGGUGAUGCUGGGGAUGACUGUAGGGCCUCACAGGUGAUGCUGGGGAUGACUGUAGGGCCUCACAGGUGAUGCUGGGGAUGACUGUAGGGCCUCACAGGUGAUACUGAGGGUGACUGUAGGGCCUCACAGGUGAUGCUGGGGAUGACUGUAGGGUCUCAUAGGUGAUACUGGGGAUGACUGUAAGGUCUCAUGGGUGCUUAGCAAACUCCCAUCACCAUGAUGAGUGACACCACAGAUACCCAGAAUACAACUUGGAUUUUAGAAAUAGAAUUCUUCUGAUGAUUAGGAGGUUGGUAUAUUGAAAGGUUGAGA